CACUCCACGACAAUGCAAAUGAUAAGAAUUUACUGGACUGGGUGGUGGUGGUGCACUCCUUUAAUCCUAGCACUCAAGAGGCAGAUGCAGCCAGAUUUCUGAGUUUGAGGCCUAGAGUGCGUUCCAGGACAGCCAGGGCUACACAGUGAAACCCUCUCUGGGAAAACAAAAAAAGGAUUUAUUGGAAUCAAGUCACUACUGAUCAGUGAGAGACACAAAAAUAUACUCAGAAGUGUAUCUUCAAAACCUCACCGCCCACACCCAACCUGAGACAGAAAGUUGUAUAGCUUUCAUACACAAAAACCUCAAAGUCCUGGGCCAACUUACAGCUACAUUUUCUCCCAAAUCAAAACUUAUUUUUAUUGAAUGAGUCAAUAAGUAGUGAUUGCUAACUCCUUGUAUUUUGUUGUUGUUGCAGCUGCGGGUGGUGUUGGUGUUGGGCUGUGUGUGUGCUUUCCCUUCUUUUGUAGACAGUAAGAGAUUAUUUACUACCUGUGUUUUCAUGUGUAUCCUUAACUUCCUCGGGUUAGAUUCUACCUCUAUCUCUGUGUAGGUCUGUAUGUUUGCUUAAAUUUGAGUUUAUUGUGCACUAUCUUAAUUUUUUCCAUUUACAGUAUAGUCAUUUUUUUUUACAUAUUAAAAUCCAGGCAUCUGUUGUUUUUGUGGCACAUGUGUGCAAUCCCUUCUGCCAUCUACAGACUCCAAGAAGACAUCUGUGAUCUUAAUAGAUCUUCCUUUAUGUUUUUCCUGGCUUUUUGCCUUUGCAGCUUUUAGUAUUCUUUCCUUGAACUUUAUGUUUUGAUUAUUACACAGGGAAGAGACUUUAUUUUAUGGUCCCUUCUGUUUGGUGUUUUGAUGAUUCUUGUGUUUUCUUUUUGUUAGGAAGUUUUUCUUUUAUGAUUUGGUUGUCAAUACUUUCUGAGACUUUGAGCGAGGAUUCUCCUUCCUCUUCCUAAGUAUUCUUAUGUUUAGUCCUUUUACAAUGUCCUGGAUUUCCAUGAUAUUUUAUAUCAGGAAGAUUUAGACUUAACAUUUUCAUUGUCUGAUUUACCCAUUCCUUCUAUUGAUUAUUCAAUUAUUGAGGUUUUUCUUCCAUGUCUGUGUUCUGUGGGUGAACCUUGCCUCUGUAGUUCCUUUUUGCAGUCCUAAAUUUUUAUUUCGACUAUUUCCUAAGUUUUAGUUUUCUUUUUUGCUUCUAUUUCCACUUUUAUGUAUUGAAUAGUUUUGUUUACUUCACACACUGGCUUGUUCUUUCUUGGCUUUAUUUGUAGGAAUUUUGGCUUCCUCUACUUUUGGUUUGUGUUUUCCUGGCCUUCUUUGUGGAAUUUAUUGAUUUCCUCCAAUUUUUUUCUCUUUUCCUGGAUUUCUGGUUUGUUUUUGUUUUUUUGUUUUUGUUUUUCGAGACAGAGUUUCUCUGUAGCCCUGGCUGUCCUGGAACUCACUCUGUAGACCAGGCUGGCCUCGAACUCAGAAAUCUGCCUGCUUCUGCCUCCCAAGUGCUGGGAUUAAAGGCGUGUGCCACCACUGCCUGGCUUCCUGGAUUUCUCUAAGUGAUUUGGUCAUUUCCUCUUUAAGGAACUCUGUCAUCUCCAUACAUUUGGGGUUAGAGUUUUUUUCUUGUAAUUUAGCUUUGUUGGAAUAUUUAAGACCUUCUUUGACAAUAUAAAUGAGCUCAGAGUCAUUAACCAGAGAGUGAUAAAUGUUGGUCCUUAUUACAUUAUCAAGUACCAACAUCAUGGGAUGGAAUGGUGCUAAGCUAAGUAUUCAGUUUAGAUUUAACCCGAUGUGUAAUUAAUCCCAAGGUUGUUCUUUCUUGUUGUGGCCGGCCAGCAGCUCGCAAUGUGAACGGUUCAACUGAGAUGGCCACUCGAGCUAAGGGAGGAACUAGACGGGGAUAAAGAAGAAACGGAGCCAAGACAAGUUCAUCCUGUUCAAAGCUCAAUUUUACUAGUUCCGACAUUCAGUUAUAAAGGAAGGGGGAGGGGACCCGAUUCCCGCCAACUGGUCUCGGCGUCCAGUAGCAGGGUUAACACGUGUGUGGCUUCAAGCAGCAAAGCGGCACGGUCCAGCAGUGGGCGUGGCAGAACGAAUAAGCAGGAAACUCCACCCCUGAGCCAGCAGGUUCCAGGCUGGAUUGGGGAGGCUACAUCUCCUCCCAUUUGUUAUCAAAAAAAAAAAAAAAAAAAAAAAAAAGGGAAGGGCUGGCCUGAGGCAAAAAACUUAUUUAUGCUCAAUAGUUCUGCCUGAAUUCUUAGGGCUAAAGAAAAAAACCUGCCUCCGUGGGAAUUCCCUAACUUUUCUUAUGGCAAACUGUAUUUUAUAAGUUUGACUGAACAAAUUUGAAAUACACUUUAUUAAGAAU
rnacentral:lncRNA from 1 species